AUUGAACGCUGGCGGCAGGCUUAACACAUGCAAGUCGAGCGGGGUGAUGGUGCUUGCACUAUCACUUAGCGGCGGACGGGUGAGUAAUGCUUAGGAAUCUGCCUAUUAGUGGGGGACAACAUCUCGAAAGGGAUGCUAAUACCGCAUACGUCCUACGGGAGAAAGCAGGGGAUCACUUGUGACCUUGCGCUAAUAGAUGAGCCUAAGUCGGAUUAGCUAGUUGGUGGGGUAAAGGCCUAACAAGGCGACGAUCUGUAGCGGGUCUGAGAGGAUGAUCCGCCACACAGGGACUGGGACACGGCCCAGACUCCUACGGGAGGCAGCAGUGGGGAAUAUUGGACAGUGGGGGGAACCCUGAUCCAGCCAUGCCGCGUGUGUGAAGAAGGCCUUAUGGUUGUAAAGCACUUUAAGCGAGGAGGAGACUCUUUUGGUUAAUACCCAAGAUGAGUGGACGUUACUCGCAGAAUAAGCACCGGCUAACUCUGUGCCAGCCGCCGCCGUAA
rnacentral:rRNA from 1 species